GAAGACUAUUUUCUUGUAACUCAUUUAUAAUUUCUUGUAACAAAUUUUAAGGUACAGUGAAUUGGAAAGCUAGUUUCUCCCUCAAACGUAGAUCAUUUAAUCGAACUGGCUAAACAAACUUUUUGUGUUUUUUUGUCUUUUUUUUUUUAAUUUUCUUCUGCCAAGUUUAUUCAAUGUCUUAUUGCAUUGAAAAUUAUUAUUGUUGAAAGUCAUUUAUUUUGGUUGUUAUUGUUCUUUGUCUCACAC
rnacentral:lncRNA from 1 species